rnacentral:rRNA from 1 species
UACGGGGGGGGCAAGCGUUGUUCGGAAUUACUGGGCGUAAAGGGCUCGUAGGCGGCCAACUAAGUCGGACGUGAAAUCCCUCGGCUUAACCGGGGAACUGCGUCCGAUACUGGAUGGCUCGAGUGUGGGAGAGGGAUGCGGAAUUCCAGGUGUAGCGGUGAAAUGCGUAGAUAUCUGGAGGAACACCGGUGGCGAAGGCGGCGAUCCUGGACUACUACGUGACGCUGAGGAGCGAAAGCCAGGGGAGCAAACGGGG